rnacentral:antisense_RNA from 1 species
CUCGAUGGCGGCUGUGCGCAGGGCGCCCUCGGGCGCGCCGAUUUCUUGGCUCAUCGGUCUACUAACCUGUGCACAGCUGCCUCCCUU